rnacentral:misc_RNA from 1 species
GUAGGUGAACCUGCGGAAGGAUCAUUAUUGAAUAAACAUGAUAGGUUGUUGCUGGCUCUCCUUGGGCAUGUGCACACUUGUCAUCUCUAUUUUUCCACCUGUGCACUUUUUGUAGACCCUAGAGAAGUGAUUGUCUGAUAAAAUCAGAUAGAUUGAGGACUGCUGUGUCUUUCAAAGGAACCAGCUUUGCCUUGUGUAUCUGGGUUCUAUGUUAUUCACAUACUCCUACAAAUGUAAUAGAAUGUUGAUC